rnacentral:tRNA from 1 species
CCGAUAUAGCUCAGGUGGUAGAGCAACUGAUUCGUAAUCAGUAGGUCGGGGGUUCGAGUCCCCCUAUCGG